CCUACGACUGUUCACUUCCUGCAAGAGAAUUCUGGAUUUCACAAGUCACUAACAUCCAACACUGAACCGAGCUCUUAACCACUGUGCCACCAGGGCAGUAGGGCCCAUCAUUUUCUAAAUGGAGAGACUGAAGCCCAGCAAGAUUAUGCAGUUUGCCACAAUUCACCCAGCAGGUUUGAAAACAGGAUCUAAGUCUUACCUUGGAAUCCCCUGCACCCAGCACAGCACCUUGCAGAGCUGGCACUCAACAGAUGCAU